GACGAACGCUGGCGGCGUGCCUAAUACAUGCAAGUAGAACGAGUGGCGGACGUGUGAGUAAUGUCUGGGAAACUGCCCGAUGGAGGGGGAUAACUACUGGAAACGGUAGCUAAUACCGCAUACCAUCGGAUGUGCCCAGAUGGGAUUAGCUAGUAGUUGGGGUAACGGCUUACCUGGGCGACGAUCCCUAGCUGGUCUGAGAGGAUGACCAGCGACACUGGAACUGAGACACGGUCCAGACGCCUACGGGAGGCAGCAGUGGUGAAUAUUGCACAAUGGGCGCAAGCCUGAUGCAGCCAUGCCGCGUGUAUGAAGAAGGCCUUCGGGUUGUAAAGUACUUUCAGCGAGGAGGCGUUACUCGCAGAAGAAGCACCGGCUAACUCCGUGCCAGCAGCCGCGGUAAUAC
rnacentral:rRNA from 1 species